CAGCUUCUGCUGCCUCCUGCCAUAGCAACCCGCAUGUUGCUUCGACGCGUUACGAGAGCCUGGACGAGAGAAGAACAUGAUCGGAUAUGAAAUGAGCCUAUUACCAUAUAAUCCCCCCAUCUGCUUCCUUUGCAAAUCAAUAAUUGAAGUUCAUAGCGAUUAAGCCCCAUGCAAGCAGCAGGAUCGGUGACUUUGGUGUUUAACAUGGCUGUGGAAAUAGCACGCUGCAUGGCUCCAGCCUGUGCCGCUGACCUCCGGCCGCCGGGCCCACCCCAGGGGAGCCCUGUAGCUUAGGGCCCAGCCCGCCCGGCCGGGGCCCAGAGAGAGAGGGGAGGAGAAGGAGACCACGAAGAAGAAGAGGAAGACGAAAACGAAGAGGAAGAAGAGGAGGAAGGCGUGUCGGGGCGAGGGGGCUGAAGCCAGCCAGGCUGAGGACGAUGCUGCUGCCCUGGCUUCUGAUGCUGCUACUGCAAGAGAGCUGAGGAGCCGAGACACAGCGAAGAAGAUCCCACACACACAAACAGGCGUACAGAGCUCCUUCACACGGCCCUCCGCCAGGGGGGACCCUUUUGCUGGCCUGGACCAUGAGCAAUGAGUCUGCCGUCUGGAACAUCCUACCAGAAAACUCCACAG
ensembl:lncRNA